GAUGAACGCUGGCGGCGUGCCUAAUACAUGCCAGUCGAGCGAACGGACGAGAAGCUUGCUUUUCUGAUGUUAGCGGCGGACGGGUGAGUAACACGUGGAUAACCUACCUAUAAGACUGGGAUAACUUCGGGAAACCGGAGCUAAUACCGGAUAAUAUUUUGAACCGCAUGGUUCAAAAGUGAAAGACGGUCUUGCUGUCACUUAUAGAUGGAUCCGCGCUGCAUUAGCUAGUUGGUAAGGUAACGGCUUACCAAGGCAACGAUGCAUAGCCGACCUGAGAGGGUGAUCGGCCACACUGGAGCUGAGACACGGUCCAGACGCCUACGGGAGGCAGCAGUAUGGAAUCGGCCGCAAUGGGCGAAAGCAUGACGGAGCAAGGCGGCGUGAGUGAUGAAGGUGUUCGGAGCGUAAAACUCGGUUAUGAGGGAAGAACAUAUGUGUAAGUAACUGUACACAUCUUGACGGUACCUAAUCAGAAAGCCACGGCUAACUACGUG
rnacentral:rRNA from 1 species